CUUGCUCCACCGGAAAAAGAAGAGUGGCGAACGGGUGAGUAACACGUGGGUAACCUGCCCAUCAGAAGGGGAUAACACUUGGAAACAGGUGCUAAUACCGUAUAACAAUCGAAACCGCAUGGUUUUGAUUUGAAAGGCGCUUUCGGGUGUCGCUGAUGGAUGGACCCGCGGUGCAUUAGCUAGUUGGUGAGGUAACGGCUCACCAAGGCCACGAUGCAUAGCCGACCUGAGAGGGUGAUCGGCCACAUUGGGACUGAGACACGGCCCAAACUCCUACGGGAGGCAGCAGUAGGGAAUCUUCGGCAAUGGACGAAAGUCUGACCGAGCAACGCCGCGUGAGUGAAGAAGGUUUUCGGAUCGUAAAACUCUGUUGUUAGAGAAGAACAAGGAUGAGAGUAACUGUUCAUCCCUUGACGGUAUCUAACCAGAAAGCCACGGCUAACUACGUGCCAGCAGCCGCGGUAAUACGUAGGUGGCAAGCGUUGUCCGGAUUUAUUGGGCGUAAAGCGAGCGCAGGCGGUUUCUUAAGUCUGAUGUGAAAGCCCCC
rnacentral:rRNA from 1 species